GGUUGUGGCUCAGUGGUAGAGUGUUUCCCUAGGGUGUGUGAGGCAUUAGGUUCGAUCCCUGGCACCA
rnacentral:tRNA from 1 species